GUGAGAGAGAGAGAGAGAAAACUAUACACGGCAGAUCUUGCUGGAGAUACCUGCGUUACAGGUGGUCUAACCGAGAGCUCUCGUCGUCGGUUUUUGUGGGUUGAUUGCCGCACCGAGUACCAGCGGCAACUGUGUACAUAUAAGCUGCAAUAUUCCCGGCUCUCUCGCCAGUUGUGUUUCCCAAAUCCGUGUGGACGCUGUGAUUCAGCGUCGUCAUCUCUGCGCCCCCAUGUCAAUCCUCUUCGACUUCGAUCGUCUUUUUGUGUGACGUUUUCUCGUUUGGCCAGUCGAAACAUUUUUCAAAAGCGUUUGCUCGAUUUUUUAAUUUCUUUUAAUUUCUAGUUUUAAUUUCUUUUUGUUUUUUUUUUUUAGAAAUUUCUUUUGACUUAAUUUGGGCAUUUUGAUUUCCUGCUUGGUCAGCCAGUUAAUAAAAUCAAACGCUUCUGAUUAUUCAUUCAGGGUGGAGCUCAUGUUUUCACUUACAAUUUUGCAAUUAUCGAUCGCUGUGGCUCUAAUCUGUUAACUCUUUCAUCUCCCACUGAGUUUCGAAGAAAACAGCCGCUAUGAUCGACCCCAGUGGAAAAUCAGCGCUCGUGGCACCUACGACGGUCUAGAGAUAAAAACAACUAUUUGAUUUUCAUAGCUCUACUUUUUUAAGAGCUCGUCAGAGAGAGAGAAAAAAAUAACCUCCAUUUCGCCCACCGCAAGUGAAAAUGUCAUUUAAAAAAAACCCAGUGGAAUCGAUAUUUUUUUUUUCCUUUUCAGGAAACCAGAUUUAUUUUCUUAUUUUAUUUUAUAUUGAUGAUUGCUCUGUGGUGGUGGUAAGUAGAUGCAGUCACGGUGAAAUCAUCUUUUUUUUAUUUAUUUCUGGCGUUGAGAGCCAACGUUAUUUUUACCUUUACACGUCUGCUUUCAACCGUUUCAUUUUCUCGACGGAUGGACGGGCGGGCGGGUGAAAUCUUGACGGCUACGAGAUUGAUUCCAACGCGCGAGUCAGCCAGUUAUUUUUUUUUCUUUUUCCCCCCAACAACUUUUUUUUAUUUUUUAUUUCGUCUUGGAGAUUGUUUUCUUUAUUUCUUCUUGUUUCUCUUCUUCUGGGAGGAGGGAGUUAACGAACUCUCUUUUUGAUCGAACGUGUGUGUGUGUGUGUGUGUGGAUCCACGAAAACUGGAAAACCCGUUUUUUUGUGUGUGUUUUCUCUCUUUUUUAUACAUUUUUUAACAACUAUGGAAAUCUCGAGGAAUCAUCGAAUAUCCCAAGUCAUCAUCGUAUGUAUAGCCCAGCAUCCAGUCGACACGUAUGCACAUCGUUUGCAGACCAGUCCAAAUGCAUACGUAAUUUAUUUGUAUUUUUUCCCCCCCAACAAACAAACAAACAUAGCCUGCCAGUACCGAUACCCUGUAGCUCCGGGCUUUUGUUUGGUUUCUAAUAAUCAGAAGCUCGUUUCUACAGGUAUCUUACGGGUAAACGAAAAAAUGAAAGAUUUUUGGUUUUUCAAUAAUCUAUCGGCUACAUCAUCAUUUUCCGUCAACGGAGCUUCAUAUUAUUUCUCCUUUUGCCUUUUCGAUGUAUAUAUGCGCGCGCUCCCAUCAUCAUCAUUAUAGUCAUCACCGGUUUGAUUGCUUGGCUUACGUGCCUCUCCCAAACAAAAAUUGUCUAGGGGAAGAAAAAAAAGAACCUUGAGGGGGGAGACCUUUCUCGUCAUUUGUUAUUGUGAUUCUUUUGAAUGAAUUUCGAAUGGAAUUAUUUUUCUGUGUACACCUUAUAUGUAUAUAUAUCCGCAUUUGUGUGUGUAUACCUUGUAGUAUAAAUACCUGGACAAGCCACAGAGAAACAGCUGUUUUUAAAAACAAACGCUGUUUGCUGGGUGGUUGUUGUUGUUGUUUCGUUCAUUCUUUUAUUUUAUUUUUUUCGUGACGUUUCUAGAAAACAAUGGCAAGCCAGUCACUGGUGAUACGAACAUAAUAGGGAUCAAGGAAAAAAACUCGUGCUGGGUUUGCAUGUCUAUGUGUGUAUACGUUGCUGCUUUUGUAACAUUCGCGAAAAGGAAGAGAUGAAGGCGGAUGUAAAAAUAGAAAAUGCACCUUUC